UGGGAUGUAGCUCACUGGUAGAGCACUUGCUUAGCAUGUAUGAGACUCUGGGUUUGAUUCCCAGUAUCACAU
rfam:Ictidomys tridecemlineatus contig092006, whole genome shotgun sequence.